UUGCUAAGGCCGAUGGCGACCGGCGCACGGGUGAGUAACACGUAUCCAACCUGCCGUCUACUCUUGGACAGCCUUCUGAAAGGAAGAUUAAUACAGGAUGGCAUCAUGAGUCCGCAUGUUCACAUGAUUAAAGGUAUUCCGGUAGACAAUGGGGAUGCGUUCCAUUAGAUAGUAGGCGGGGUAACGGCCCACCUAGUCUUCGAUGGAUAGGGGUUCUGAGAGGAAGGUCCCCCACAUUGGAACUGAGACACGGUCCAAACUCCUACGGGAGGCAGCAGUGAGGAAUAUUGGUCAAUGGGCGAGAGCCUGAACCAGCCAAGUAGCGUGAAGGAUGACUGCCCUAUGGGUUGUAAACUUCUUUUAUAAAGGAAUAAAGUCGGGUAUGCAUACCCGUUUGCAUGUACUUUAUGAAUAAGGAUCGGCUAACUCCGUGCCAGCAGCCGCGGUAAUACGGAGGAUCCGAGCGUUAUCCGGAUUUAUUGGGUUUAAAGGGAGCGUAGAUGGAUGUUUAAGUCAGUUGUGAAAGUUUGCGGCUCAACCGUAAAAUUGCAG
rnacentral:rRNA from 1 species